rnacentral:rRNA from 1 species
CUACGGGGUGCAGCAGUGGGGAAUAUUGGACAAUGGGGGAAACCCUGAUCCAGCAAUGCCGCGUGUGUGAAGAAGGCCUGCGGGUUGUAAAGCACUUUCGGUUGGGAGGACUGCUUCUAGCACUAAUAUUGUUGGAAGUUGACGUUACCUUCAGAAGAAGCACCGGCUAACUCCGUGCCAGCAGCCGCGGUAAUACGGAGGGUGCAAGCGUUAAUCGGAAUUACUGGGCGUAAAGCGCGCGUAGGCGGCUAGAUCAGUCGGGUGUGAAAGCCCCGGGCUUAACCUGGGAACUGCAUCCGAUACUGUCAAGCUUGAGUACAGGAGAGGAGAGUGGAAUUCCACAUGUAGCGGUGAAAUGCGUAGAUAUGUGGAGGAACACCAAUGGCGAAGGCAGCUCUCUGGCCUGAUACUGACGCUGAGGUGCGAAAGCGUGGGGAACAAACAGGAUUGGAUACCCCCGUAGUC